UUUUCAUUGGUUCAUUUUCAAGAGAAGAGAAAGAGGAGAAGAGAAGAGGAUUUGGGGAGAAACUAGAAGAUAGAAGGAGAAUGAUUCAAGGUUCUGGAGUUUAGUAGCUCGUGCGUGAUCUAGCCGGAGAUUCUCCCAUGUUUGUUGGAUAUUAGGUAGUGAGUCGAUGCUCUGGUCAUGUAACACUGGGUAGCUUAGAUGUUGACCUCAUGUUCCAUUUGUUUAUGUAUUUUGUUAUAACUUGUGAACCUGUUUAUUUGGCUACUUGUUGUUGAGAGGCUUUUAAGCCAAAUAUUCUGAUUAUGGUUUAUUUAUGUUGAGAUGAUUAUUGAGAUAUGAUCAUGGUAUGGGACAUGAAUCAUUUUAUGAAAUAUAUGAGUAUUUUAGUAUUUUC